UAUUUUUUGGAUCUGUGUAGAGAUUUCGUCAAAUACCAACCCAUUAGGGCUGAUCAAACUUCCAAGAUAAAUGAAGUU
rnacentral:pre_miRNA from 1 species